UACGUAGGGUGCGAGCGUUGUCCGGAAUUAUUGGGCGUAAAGAGCUUGUAGGCGGUUUGUCGCGUCUGCCGUGAAAUUUCGGGGCUCAACCCCGAACUUGCGGUGGGUACGGGCAGACUAGAGUGUGGUAGGGGAGACUGGAAUUCCUGGUGUAGCGGUGAAAUGCGCAGAUAUCAGGAGGAACACCGAUGGCGAAGGCAGGUCUCUGGGCCACUACUGACGCUGAGAAGCGAAAGCAUGGGGAGCGAACAGG
rnacentral:rRNA from 2 species